AACUAACAAACUAAUAAUGAGUUGCAAGUUUAGACAUGAACAGAAUGACAGUGUAAAGGCUGAAUCAAAGAGAAUGAAAGACAGAGGAAGGAAAGAAAGAUUGAAAGAAAGUUGUAGAGAAAGAUUAAGAACCAAAUUAGGAAAUGCUGCCUAAAAGAGAAAGAAAGAAAAAAAGAAAGAAAGAGAAAGAAAGGAAUGAAAAAGAAAGAAAGAAGAAAGGAAUGAAAAAGAAAGAAAGAAGAAAGGAAUGAAAAAGAAAGAAAGAAGAAAGGAAUGAAAAAGAAAGAAGAAAGGAAUGAAAAAGAAAGAAAGAAGAAAGGAAUGAAAAAGAAAGAAAGAAGGAAGGAAUGAAAAAAUAAGAAAGAAGAAAGGAAUGAAAAAGAUAGAAAGAAGAAAGGAAUGAAAAAGAUAGAAAGAAGAAAGGAAUGAAAAAGAUAGAAAGAAAUUAAACAAAAGAAAGCUUACUAACAAACAAAUAAUGAGGUGCAAGUUCAGACAUAAACAGAAUGACAGUGUAAAGGCUGCAUUAGAGAGAAAGAAUAAAAAAGAAAGAAAGACGAGGAAAGGAAAGAAAAAAAAUUGAAAGAAAGAGAAAUUAAAUCAAAUUAGUAAAUGCUGCUUCAAAAAGACUGAAAGAAAGAUAUAAAGAAAGGAAUAAAAUAAAAGAAAGCUGACUAACAAACAAAUGAGGUGCAAGUUCAGACAUGAACAGAAUGACAGUGUAAAGGCUGCAUCAAAAAGAAAGAAAGAAUGAAAAAAGAAAGAAUGAAAGAAAGAUGGAGAGAAAGAAAGAAAUUAAACCAAAUUAGGAAAUGCUGCCUCAAAGAGAAAGAAAGAAAAAAAGACAGACAGACAGAGGAAGGAAAGAAAGAUUGAAAGAAAG